UCCGGCUUGUCACCGGCAGUUCCUCCAGAGUGCCCGGCCGAGCCGAUGGCAACUGAAGGCAAGGGUUGCGCUCGUUGCGGGACUUAACCCAACAUCUCACGACGCGAGCUGACGACAGCCAUGCAGCACCUGUCUCCCAUCCAGCCGAACUGAAGGCCCACGUCUCCAUGGGCCGCAAUGGGGAUGUCAAGGGCUGGUAAGGUUCUGCGCGUUGCGUCGAAUUAAACCACAUGCUCCACCGCUUGUGCGGGCCCCCGUCAAUUCCUUUGAGUUUUAAUCUUGCGACCGUACUCCCCAGGCGGUGUGCUUAACGCGUUAGCUGCGCCACCGAGACACCAAGUGCCCCAACGGCUAGCACACAUCGUUUACGGCGUGGACUAC
rnacentral:misc_RNA from 1 species